GGGCAGCCAUGGAGGCUAUUGACCGGGGCGCACAGACAAGGGCCGCAUUCAGGCCCACCGCCUGGUUUCCAAUGAGCUCAGCUGCUCCACAGCUGGGGCCAGGGACAGACUCGCACCCCACCCGCCAGGCCUGUUCUCCCCACUGGUAAACAAGGGGGCAGGGGCCAGGGGGGCAGGCUCUGGGUACCAGGGGAGAAGAACCUGAAGUCAUGCCAAGCUUCCCGAGAAGGCCAGGAGCCCAGGUACAGGAUAGAGGAAGCUGUCAGGGCUCAGGACCCUGGCCAUCCCCUGCUCUUCUGCACUAUCCGGGACAUAGUUACUGACCACUGCCCUGAGGCACAGUGUUUCUGAAAAUUACAUUUGAUGGUCAAAAAACUUGGGAGUCUUUGGAGUGAAGAAGAAUAGAGGGGAACCCAGAGACUGGGCCCCGAUAUUUCUGGGGCUUCGAGGGGCUACCGGGGGACCCUGUGCCAUGGUUAGUGGAUGUCAGCCUUUCCUCUGGCACUGCUGAGUCCUGAGUUCUUGGGCAGCUCUGGACUGGAUGAAGAAGCUGAGGACAGGCAGACAUCAAGGACUGGAGGACCCGUUGCCCACUACCUAGCCAAGCAUGGGCACAUGAAGGAAUUGCAUGAGGGUCUUACGGAAGCUCAGCUCUGACAGGAGUCUGGGGAAGAGCCUGGGCCUCUGCAUUUCUCACGGCCCCCAGGCUGCUGGUGCUGCUGAGCCCUGGCCCACCUCAAGCAGCUGGCAGGAGAAAGUGAGGGUGGGAGGCCCCUGGCAGAAACAGGGAUGUAUGCAUUCAGGGAUGUACAGUUUGUUCUGAAGAGUGUCAGGGCUGGAGAUGGAAAUGGGAGGGAUGACCAGGAGGGAGGGAUGCGCAAGGACAGG
rnacentral:lncRNA from 1 species